CGGGGAAAGUCCUUCCACAUUAACUGUCAGGGUAUGACAAAACCACGUAUUAUAGAGGAGUUAUUGAAGAAGGGUGAGAAAACUUCCAUUUCUUCCAUGUUUAAAGGUGGUUCUACAGGCACUAUGGAGAAGACAAUACUCAGCAGAGCAAAGACAUAUCUGGGUAAGGUGUGCAGGCUAGACAAUAGACCGAGAGCUGUAUUUAUCAGGAUACUAAUGCUGUUUUCCCUGUAUAAUACCAACUUCGAUGAAGAAAGUGGUGGUGGAGGGCAAAACCAGUUGUUUCAAAUGCUAAUGGUGAAUAUUGGAAGAGUUGUCUACCCUUCUUACAGAGUGAACAGAGACAGAUCAGUGUUUGAAGACUCUGCUGCUCUUGCAAGGUUUGAAGCAGCUCUGCAGUUUGAGAUGGACAUUCAGGCUUUGACAGAGCAUGGCAAGUGGUCUUUGGCCUAUGAAAUGUACAAACAAGCAAAGGAGGCAGGAAAACAUAUAUGCAGGAAUAAACACUAUAUCAAAUGGGACAGUGAUCUACCUGAGUUUUUACGUGUGUAUACAGCAGGCAGUGUAUAUACCCGUGUGGAUAACCUUGGGGUGGAGAUUCUACAGAGACUUAAACUGUACAAGGAGGCUGUUGACCUGCUAGAGGAGCUGAUAGCCCAGGAUCUUUACUGUGUACAGUAUAGGGGUCAUUGGUAUGAAAGACUGGCCCUUAACCUGGAUGUACAUCUCAAGUCUGUAGAAAAGAGUAUGGCUGUACUAAAGCGUGGCUUACUAGACCCCACUGUACGUACAGGUAGACGAUUAGCACUGUAUGAGAGGGCACGUAAGAUUUGUGAGGCCCCAAAAUCAAAGUAUGCUGAUAAAAUUAAUGAGUUUGAACACCAGAAUGUCUUGCCAACACCAGAGGUACAUAUAGAAGGCAUUGUGAUGUCAGAUGCAACAACAGUGGAUAUGAAAUACAAGUUUGUCAUGCAGGGAGACUCGGACUCCGUCACAUUAUGUGCUGUGGAAGAGUUAGUCCUCGAGCAUUACAAACAAAAUGGCUACCCUGAAGGGCUUCAUGCUGAGGGUUCUAUAGUGAGUAACCUGUUUGUUUUGUUAUUUUGGGACAUUAUGUUCAUGAAUGUUCCUAACGUGUUCCAUGGACCGUUCCAGUCAUGCCCUUUAGAUAUAGCUACACGAGACUUCUACCUCAGUAGGCAGCAUCAUGUUGAUGAUAGACUCAACUGGCUAAAAAGUGCUUCUGUAGAGGAGUUAACUACAGAGGUUGGUCAAAUUUGGAGUGAACAUGAAGGGAAGAUGUGUGCUGGAAUUAACUGGGACAAAUUUUCUGGACCCAACACUCACCAGAAUCUUAUAACUUGUAUGGGAGGGCGUGUGCUUGCUGGAAUUCUAGAACGUUAUGUCAUGGAUCCAAGACAUACAAGGAGUGGAUUUCCUGAUCUUACAUUGUGGAACACAGAUACUAAACAAUUCAAGAUUUGUGAGGUGAAGGGUCCCAAUGAUAGACUGUCAUACAAACAGAUAUUGUGGAUAGAUUAUCUCCUUAAACUUGGAGUGGAUGCAGAAGUGUGUUAUGUUAAAGAUAAGCCUUGAAAUUUGGAUGACAUGUACAGUACAGUUUUGCACACCAAUUUUAAAACUGACUUUCAGUGACCAUGAAUGUGACCUACUGACCUACUUUCUAAUAUUUUAGCAUCAGUUUGCAAUUUUCAACAUGUGGCUCAUAUUACUCAGCCGUUGGAUCUAAAAAGCUCAAGCCAGUUCUGAAGAAUUGAUUGGACACGAUGUAGCUGAAGAACUUGACAUUGUGAUGAAGUGUUGUGACAUAGUUAUGCAAAAGAACUUGACAAGCUGUGAAGAAUGGAUUUGACAUUAUGCAUUGUGAAGAACUUCACUAGCUCUGAAGAAGUGAUCUAACAUGUUUGUGUAAUGAUAGCUGAUGAACAACAACUCCAUUGUAAUGGCCAUUAAGUCAUUUUAGGCCCUUGUUUGAAUAUUUUAUUGAGUAUUUAAAUAAUACACUGAAAUGUUUACAUGUGGGUAACAAAGCUUUUUCUACACAU